ACCGUACUCCUACGGGAGGCAGCAGUGGGGAAUUUUGGACAAUGGGGGCAACCCUGAUCCAGCAAUGCCGCGUGAGUGAAGAAGGCCUUCGGGUUGUAAAGCUCUUUUGUCAGGGAAGAAACGGUAGUAGCUAAUAUCUAUUACUAAUGACGGCACCUGAAGAAUAAGCACCGGCUAACUACGUGCCAGCAGCCGCGGUAAUACGUAGGGUGCAAGCGUUAAUCGGAAUUACUGGGCGUAAAGCGUGCGCAGGCGGUUGUGUAAGUCAGAUGUGAAAUCCCCGGGCUCAACCUGGGAAUUGCAUUUGAGACUGCACGGCUAGAGUGUGUCAGGGGGGGGUAGAAUUCGACGUGUAGCAGUGACAUGCGUAGAUAUGUGGAGGAAUACCGAUGGCGAAGGCAGCCCCGUGGGAUGACACGGACGCGCAUGCACGAAAGCGUGGGGAGCAAACAGGAUUAGAAACCCUGGUAGUCCUUGAC
rnacentral:rRNA from 1 species